rnacentral:tmRNA from 1 species
GGGACUGUCUGGUUUCUACAUAUAAAUACAUCUUAUAAGAGUCAAAGGGAAAAAGUUUAAGUUCAACUUUUAAAAUAAAGACUUAAAAUUUAAAUGCAAAAAAUCAAAUUGUUACUUUUAAUCGGACUUUAGUUGCUGUAUAAUUAUAUAUUAUGUAGAGAUACUAAAAUUUGUAAUCAGAUCUUAAUUUAAUAUAUUAAUCUUGAUUAGAGUAAUAUUACGCUCUUAGCUUGAAUUUCAAUACUAAGUAUUAAGCUAAGAAAAGUCAAUAAUUGUAAUAGAUAAAUGAACUUCCUCAAAAUUAAUAAGUGAAUUUUUUAUUAAUUACUUUUACAUAUGAUGUAUUAAUAUGGACGUGGGUUCGAAUCCCACCAGUUCCA